UACGUAGGGAGCAAGCGUUGUCCGGAAUCAUUGGGCGUAAAGCGCGUGUAGGCGGCCCCGUAAGUCCGCUGUGAAAGUCAAAGGCUCAACCUUUGAAAGCCGGUGGAUACUGUGGGGCUAGAGUCCGGAAGAGGCGAGUGGAAUUCCUGGUGUAGCGGUGGAAUGCGCAGAUAUCAGGAGGAACACCAAUAGCGAAGGCAGCUCGCUGGGACGGUACUGACGCUAAGGCGCGAAAGCGUGGGGAGCAAACAGG
rnacentral:rRNA from 1 species